rnacentral:rRNA from 1 species
UACGUAGGAUGCAAGCGUUUGUCCGGAUUUACUGGGCGGUAAAGCGCACGCAGGUGGCUGAGCGAGUCGAUUGUGAAAGCCUGGCUUAACCUGGGAAUUGCAGUCGAUACUACUCAGCUAGAGUAUGGGAGAGGGAGUGGAAUUCCCGGUGUAGCGGUGAAAUGCGUAGAUAUCGGGAGGAACAUCAGUGGCGAAGGCGGCUACCUGGCCCAAUACUGACACUCAGGUGCGGACAGCGUGGGGAGCAAACAGG